UACGGAGGGUGCGAGCGUUGUCCGGAAUCACUGGGCGUAAAGCGCGUGUAGGUGGCGGGAUAAGUCGGGUGUGAAAUCCCUUGGCUCAACCAAGGAAGUGCAUUCGAUACUGUUUCGCUUGAGUACUGGAGGGGAUGGCGGAAUUCCCGGUGUAGAGGUGAAAUUCGUAGAUAUCGGGAGGAACACCAGUGGCGAAGGCGGCGAUCUGGGCAGAUACUGACGCUGAGGUGCGAAAGCGUGGGGAGCAAACAGG
rnacentral:rRNA from 1 species